GACGAACGCUGGCGGCGUGCUUAACACAUGCAAGUCGAACGGAAAGGCCCUGCUCUUGUGGGGUGCUCGAGUGGCGAACGGGUGAGUAACACGUGAGUAACCUGCCCUUGACUUUGGGAUAACUUCAGGAAACUGGGGCUAAUACCGGAUAGGAGCUCUUGCUGCAUGGUGGGGGAUGGAGAGUUUCGGCGGUUGGGGAUGGACUCGCGGCUUAUCAGCUUGUUGGUGGGGUAGUGGCGUACUAAGGCUUUGACGGGUAGCCGGCCUGAGAGGGUGACCGGCCACAUUGGGACUGCGGUACGGCCCAGACUGCUACGGGAGGCAGCAGUGGAGAAUAUUGCACAAUGGGCGGAAGCCUGAUGCAGCAGCGCCGCGUGCGGGAUGACGGCCUUCGGGUUAUAAACCGCUUUCGCCUGUGACGAAGCGUGAGUGACGGUAAUGGGUAAAGAAGCACCGGCUAACUACGUG
rnacentral:rRNA from 1 species